UGCUGGCUGUGUCUGGAGCACUGUGCAGCCUCUUCUGUGGGAAGUUCCCAUGGGUCAGUGUGGCCUGAAUCUCUCCUGCUCCUUUGUUCUCUUUGGGCUUCACAGGAGAUGUCUGGUGAACGGCCUGUGGACUCUGUGCCCCGCACCGCUCCGAAAUUAUUCGCUACCUUGAAAGAAACAGGGCACAGCUCAGCCUGGUAGUCUCUGGCCCAGCCUCUUCCACAGACGUAUGCUGCAGCCAGCCCAGCUCAGAGAGCAGUGGGGACACAUGAUCUCAUCCUGUCAAACCAAGCAACAUGGGUCCCAUUGAGGCUUAGAUGGAAGAUCCCAGGUAUCUCGUGGAGAGGACGUGUCUGGGAUCCUGGAGACUGUUUCCUGCUGGAGGUUUGAGCGGGGAGAGAUCACUCAGAAGAUCACUCGGGUCUGCAGGGUUCAUGGGAGCAGCCACACUCCAGCAGGCCAUCUGGAAGCCUACUAAAAACUGCUUACCUACGACUUACAAAGUCCAGACCCAGUUUGAGGCUCCAUCCCUGAGGCCUAUUGGCAGAGUCCCAGAGCAGCUAAUCGGCCCCCGGGACCUCCUUAAACCAACAGCAGGAACAAGAAGCUGUCUGCUCACCGGGGCUCCCCUGUCUUCUGGACCAUGUGACUCGCUGUGGCUCAUCGGAUUUGAGGGUCUGAACACAAUUUGGUCUUUUGCUUCUGCUCUUCCAGUAUCCUGAC